GGAAUAACGUACCGAAAGGUGCGCUAAUACCGCAUAAUACUGAGUGACUACUGUUGCUUAGUCAAAGAAGGCCUCUGUUUACAAGCUUUUGCUUUGGGAUGAGUCCGCGUACCAUUAGCUAGUUGGUAGGGUAAUGGCCUACCAAGGCGACGAUGGUUAGCUGGUCUGAGAGGAUGAUCAGCCACACUGGAACUGAGACACGGUCCAGACUCCUACGGGAGGCAGCAGUGAGGAAUAUUGCGCAAUGGGGGCAACCCUGACGCAGCAACGCCGCGUGAGUGAGGAAGGUUUUCGGACCGUAAAGCUCUGUCGAGCGGGAAGAAAUGCAUGGUGGCUAAUAUCCAUCAUGCUUGACGGUACCGCUAAAGGAAGCCCCGGCUAACUCCGUGCCAGCAGCC
rnacentral:rRNA from 1 species